rnacentral:rRNA from 1 species
AUUGAACGCUGGCGGCAGGCCUAACACAUGCAAGUCGAACGAGUGGCGGACGGGUGAGUAAUGCAUGGGAAUCUAGCUGAUGGAGGGGGAUAACUACGGGAAACUGUAGCUAAUACCGCAUACCAUAGGAUGAGCCCAAGUGGGAUUAGGUAGUAGGUGAGGUAAAGGCUCACCAAGGCGACGAUCCCUAGCUGGUCUGAGAGGAUGACCAGCCACACUGGGACUGAGACACGGCCCAGACUCCUACGGGAGGCAGCAGUGGGGAAUAUUGCACAAUGGGGGCAACCCUGAUGCAGCCAUGCCGCGUGUAUGAAGAAGGCCUUCGGGUUGUAAAGUUCUUUCGGUAGGGAGGCGUUACCUACAGAAGAAGCACCGGCUAACUCCGUGCCAGCCGCCGCGGUAAUUC